GGUUGCAGAGUGGACCACGCUGCCAGAGCGCUGCAUCGCGGGGGGAAUCAAACUCGCCCCGCUUGAAUCUGCGGCCUGUCAAAGCAGUCAGGCAUGGAGGCAGCGGACGGGUGGCAUCAAAAGAUGCGUCUGUUUAUGUGUGAGGGGGUUUCGAAGCCGCGUUUGGAAGUGAUGGAUUGUUCCAGCAUAACAAACAGAGCGGGAGAGAGCACUCCGGAGCAAGUUGAAGCAGCUCGGUUGCUGGGUGGGGGUAGCGGGGACGAGACUGACUGGUCUCGCAAUAGAUGGAGAGCGAGUGGAUGGAGGCAGGCGGCGGUCCGCUGGGAAACGGACCUCACGGGGGACCCGUGUUCCUCCCACGCGCUGAGCAGAGUGAGUUUGAUGGCGCACUCACACGUUCAUAGAGACUCUUUCAUCUCCUGCGGAAUUCAGAUGAGCAUGCAUCAACGUCACGUGCUCAUCUACGGCUGGGUGGCGGCUGGGUCCGUGCCGUAUUAUUAUAUAUAUCGCCCGAGACCCUAGUGAGGAGAAGUGGCUCAGAAAAUGGAUGGAUGAAUGGAUAUUAUUAUUAUUAUUAUUAUUCAAGAAUGUAUUCGGGUCCUGACUGUUGUUUGUGCCUACGCACCAAACACCAGUUUUGUUUUAAUAUUAAUUUAAUUAUUUCCCCCCCCCAAAAAAGUUUGAAUGCUCUAUUCAAAGGUCUAUUAUUGCUGAUUUUAUUUUUUAUUUUCAAGCACAAGUGAAAAAUUAAAUUUGGGGGUAUUUUGUAUUGUGUGCUUUAUUUGACAGUCAUUGGUCGUGCUGAUACAUAAAAGUGCUUGUCAUGG